GAUGAACGCUGGCGGCGUGCCUAAUACAUGCAAGUCGAGCGAACAGACGAUGAGCUUGCUCCUCUGACGUUAGCGGCGGACGGGUGAGUAACACGUGGAUAACCUACCUAUAAGACUGGGAUAACUUCGUGAAACCGGAGCUAAUACCGGAUAAUAUAUUGAACCGCAUGGUUCAAUAGUGAAAGACGGUUUUGCUGUCACUUAUAGAUGGAUCCGCGCCGCAUUAGCUAGUUGGUAAGGUAACGGCUUACCAAGGCAACGAUGCGUAGCCGACCUGAGAGGGUGAUCGGCCACACUGGAACUGAGACACGGUCCAGACUCCUACGGGAGGCAGCAGUAGGGAAUCUUCCGCAAUGGGCGAAAGCUUGACGGAGCAACGCCGCGUGAGUGAUGAAGGUCUUCGGAUCGUAAAACUCUGUUAUUAGGGAAGAACAAAUGUGUAAGUAACUAUGCACGUCUUGACGGUACCUAAUCAGAAAGCCCCGGCUAACUACGUG
rnacentral:rRNA from 1 species